AAGCUGACAAGGCGGGUCUUAGACAGGUGUAUGUGAACUCUUACAAAGGGCGAGGCAUCUUUGCUUCAAAACCUUUCAGCAAAGGAGAUUUUGUGCUAGAGUACAGAGGGAAACUACAUUCUCCAGACAAUCCUCCUGUCAUCGAAACAUACAGUGAAACUGAAGCAACAUAUCUCUUUGAUUUUCAAUGGAAAGGGAAAUCUUGGUGUAUUGAUGCAUCUCUGGAGGACCAGUCACUUGGAAGACUGGUGAAUGAUGAGCACAAAACCCCAAAUUGUAAAAUGCGACAAAUUCAAGUGGAUGGCAUGCCGCACCUUUGUCUCUUUGCAAUCAGAGACAUUCUGCCAGGGGAAGAGAUUACCUACAAUUAUGGAGAAUCAGAUUGGCCUUGGCGC